UACGGAGGAUUCGAGCGUUAUCCGGAUUUAUUGGGUGUAAAGGGUGCGUAGGCGGAGUGGUAAGUCAGAUGUGAAAGCUUACGGCUCAACCGGGAAAUUGCAGUUGAUACUGCUGGUCUUGAGUAUACAUGAGGUGGGCGGAAUUUGUGGUGUAGCGGUGAAAUGCUUAGAUAUCACAAAGAACACCAGUUGCGAAGGCAGCUCACUGGACUAUAACUGACGCUGAUGCACGAAGGUGUGGGUAUCAAACAGG
rnacentral:rRNA from 1 species